AGCGAACGCUGGCGGCAGGCCUAACACAUGCAAGUCGAACGAACCUUUCGGGGUUAGUGGCGGACGGGUGAGUAACACGUGGGAACGUUCCCUUAGGUUCGGAAUAACUCAGGGAAACUUGUGCUCAUACCGAAUGUGCCCUUCGGGGGAAAGAUUAAUCGCCUUUAGAGCGGCCCGCGUCUGAUUAGCUAGUUGGUUGAGGUAAUGGCUCACCAAGGCGACGAUCAGUAGCUGGUCUGAGAGGAUGAUCCGCCACAUUGGGACUGAGACACGGCCCAAACUCAUACGGGAGGCAGCAGUGGGGAAUCUUGCGCAAUGGGCGAAAGCCUGACGCAGCCAUGCCGCGUGAAUGAUGAAGGUCUUAGGAUUGUAAAAUUCUUUCACCGGGGACGAUAAUGACGGUACCCGGAGAAGAAGCCCCGGCUAACUUCGUG
rnacentral:rRNA from 1 species